GUCGAAAAGAAAUACGAGCUCCAGCUCAAGCCCUGAAGGGCCACAACCUGACUCCUGAUCGGUUGAAAGAAAUAUGAGCUCUGGCUCAAGCCCCGAAGGGCCAAAGUCAAUAUCAAUCUCCGAAUUGAUAAGUCUUGGAAGGACCAAAAACCAACUCCGAUCGGUAAAUAAUUGACGACUACCAACAUGGUGAAUAUCCAACCACCAUUCAAGCAUGAAAAGAAAGGAAAAAGACUCAGCACUUCAGCUCUGGCCAAUUCUGCUUCAGCCUU
rnacentral:lncRNA from 1 species